UACAGAGGUCUCAAGCGUUGUUCGGAUUCAUUGGGCGUAAAGGGUGUGUAGGUGGCGCGGUAAGUCGGGUGUGAAAUUUCGGAGCUUAACUCCGAAACUGCAUUCGAUACUGGCGUGCUUGAGGACUGGAGAGGAGACUGGAAUUCAUGGUGUAGCAGUGAAAUGCGUAGAGAUCAUGAGGAAGACCAGUGGCGAAGGCGGGUCUCUGGACAGUUCCUGACACUGAGGCACGAAGGCCAGGGGAGCAAACGGG
rnacentral:rRNA from 1 species